rnacentral:tRNA from 1 species
AAUAAAAUGGCUGAGUUAUUAAGCGGUAAAUUGUAAAUUUAUUAACAAGAUAUUUUUCUUUUUUAUUA